rnacentral:lncRNA from 1 species
UCAUUUUAGCAAAUAAUCUUAUUGCUUUUGAAAACUCUCCAAGAGUUUCAAUAAUUUUCAAGCUAUAAGCUUAUACAAUAUAAGGAUUAUCAAUAAGUUUCCCAGAAACUUUUAUAUUUUGAAUCCUUAAAGAAGUUUUCAUAUAAAUUUUGUCAAGUGACAAUAUUCAACAUUUCAUGUGUAACAUCUUCAAGUGUCUGGACUGCAAAUCAAAUAAG